CAUUAGUGACAGGAAAUCUGGUCUACACAACACCCAAGGCACAGGACAGUGGAAGUGAUGACGGCUCAGAAGGCCAAGUCCAGAUCUUGAGUGAGUACAAAUCCACGAGGAAGCAGAGAUGAGCAAGGCUCAACAAUUCAUUUGGACCUUGACUGAUUUUUUUCAAGGUUGGUAAAACCGAUCCUUAGAGAACCUUCCUGACAUACUAUAGAAAAAAGGCCAUUGCAUAAAAUUGUGAAAGUAACACAGGUCUUUUAU
rnacentral:lncRNA from 1 species